GUGUGUGUGGGGGAGGGGGGCAUAAGAGCCUUCCUCAGGCCACUCAGAAGGCUGCACAAUCUCAAAUGAUUGUUCCCUGAAAUUUCCAGUCAGUAUAUUUGAAUGGCAGGGGGCCUGCUGAUGUCCUCCCAUUACAAGGCCAGGGAUGGGGCACAUGCCUGUACUUCAGCACUUAGGAGACUGAACCUGGAGGGUCGGGAGUUAAGGCCACUCUCUGUUAUGAUACAGGAUACUUCAUCCUAAAUCAGUACAAGUGAUGGACACUAACCCUGACAGCUCCAGGACUUCCACUGACGAUGCUCCCUGGGCUUUCUGCUGGAUGCUAUGGACCAAGUAUGUCCUUUCCCUUCCACAAUGGCUGUGACAUCCCUUCACUAAAAACCGACUCAUUUGAGAAGUUGAAAGAGAAGAGAAAAAAGAGACAGAGAACAAGGCAUUUCCUCAAGAAAACCUAAGAACAAACAGUGCCGUAAAGGAGAAGGAUCAUCGUUCCAGUAUGCUUAAUUUCGACCCAAACCCUAUGACCAGCAGGAACAUCCAGGCACCGUCUGAUAGAGCACCCCAUUAAAACACCCCUCAACCCACACAUCAUGGCUGUGUCUCCUCCAGGAAGACAAUUUCUACCCUGGGGCUUGACCAGGAUUCUCUUCCAUCGCUUUGAGAAUGUCAGAGUUUAAAACUUCAAAGGUCCUUCAUGCAGUAACUCUACAAAAGUCUAUGACCACACACACACACACACACACACACACACACACACACACACACUCACACUCACAAACACACACACACAGACACACACACACUCACACUCACAUACACACACACACUCACAAACACACAGAGAGAGACACACACGCGCGUGCGAGCACGCGCGCACACACACACACAUACACACACACACACAGACACACACUCGAGCACACACACACACACACAGACACACACGCGAGCACACACACACACAGACACACACGCGAGUGCGCGCACACACAGACACACACACACAGACACACACGCGAGUGCGCGCACACACAGACACACACACACACACUCACAAACACACACACACACAGAGACACACUCACGUGUGCACACACAUACACACACACACAGAGACACACUCGCGUGUGCACACACACAUACACACACACAGAGACACACUCGUGUGUGCACACACACACACACACUCACACACACACAGACACACACACACACACAGAUUUCAUGCUACCUCGCCUGCUCGCCUCACUCUUCCAAGGACUUCUCCUUAAGAAGAAUGCUCCAGACCAUCAGGCUCCAGACCCCUGGGGACCAUGUCCCAGCUGACCAGGCUCCUUUCAGGAACUUCCCAAUACUUGGAGCCUCUUAUGUGCCACAAGAGUGCUGUGGAGUCUCUGCUUCAGAAGUCAGGAGUGCCCAGUCUCUUAAUGAGCUGAACCCAGGAGGUGAACACUGGACCCAGGAGGAUCAAGACUCAUCAAGAAGGAAGGCCUCUGGGCAAGUCACCAAGGAAUUGUCUACAUUGCAUUAAUUAAGAUGGUAAGACACACCCUAACUGUGUGGGACAGUUCGUGGGCUGGGGUUCCUGCUGAGCAAUAGCAUCCGUUGCUCUCUGUUUUCUGACUACAAAUGCCGUGUGACCAGCUAGCUCACCCUGACUGCUUGCCUUUUCCCAUGGUGCCCGCAUCCUUUGUAGCCACAUACCCAAAAGCCUUCUUCCCUUAAGCUUCAGGCAUCUAUCUGGUCACAACCAUGGGAAAAGUAACUAAUCCACCUCGUGAGGCACAGCAAAAACUUGAGCAAUGGCGGCCAUGAUGUUCUAGUAGAGGGAGUGAGGCAGAGGCAAAGUUGUUCUGAGGGACUGCAUUUGGACUAAGAGGGAAGGAGUUUGUCAAGCGUGGCCCGGAGAGCUGGAAGACGGGGUUUUGCCGUCUCUGGGAUUAGAGAGACUGGAGGUAGAAGAGGAUUAGGAGUCAAGGUUCAAAAAUUUGACUUUUAGGCACAUUGAAUCUGAGAUGAGUGAUAACUGCCCACGCCUAUUAUGCACCAGGCCACCAGCCCUGACAGCCAAAGAGUGUGUUAGUGUCCCUGCCCUUUGAAUUGAGGUAACACAGUGGCCCUCAGAGCUGAAAUGUCUCACCCAUCACACACACACACAGCAGGUAAAUCGAAUCCACUAAGGACUCUAAAGAGAGCUGUCAGUUCUGAGUUGAAUGCUUUUCCUGGGACACCCAGCCGAAAGUGGCAGAGCUUCGAAGGCAGACAGCUGAAGGGAACCUCCUCUCCUGUGACCUCUGCACACCGAGAUUUAAGUCAAAACUUGCAGACUUUAAGGGAAUCUGUUCUAAAGGGAGAGAGGAACUCAAUCUCAAUCCUCUUAAAAAGCAGUGAGAGUUUUUCCCCCUCCCCUUAAAAACUAAAACAAAACCAAGGUGAGUCUAAGGCCAGCCUGCUGACUGCAUCAGAGGCAAAGACAAAAAGAGAAGAGAGGAGAAGUGGGCAGAAACCCCAAGUCAGUGGGCCAAGGGGCAGGCCUGGAGGCUCCCAUUAUCAGAGGUUAGUCGGGGGGGGGGGGGUUCUUAGCUGACUUAAAGAAAACUAAAAUGUUAAUUUUAGGUUCUUUGAUACGUUUUCCUGGAGAUAUUUUGUUCUGAUACAUCCAACAACAGCCAAAGAGAAAAGCUCAGAAGACAGACUUAAUAAAAAUAGCCGAGGAUCCAGGGCAACUGCACGUGAGCUCCAUUUUCUUUGUCCUGUUCAGCUCCAAAAGGCAGAUUACCAAGGUGCUGCAGCACCCACCCCAAGCAGAAUUUAGAGCGAGCUUCAACAUUGCAAAGCUCCUGCACUGGGGACUACUUCAGCUAAUGACUCUGAGCCCUGUUAAAACUCAGAUGUUUCUGAGAAGGAUACAGACAUGGACGUGCGAUUCACUUUGGAGGCCCUGAGCUUGCGGGAGUACCAUUAGGAAUCCUAAUAGCUCAUCUUGGGAAACUUCUUUUGGGCAGAUGCACUAGAAGCUUUGUGCUUCCAACUUGAGAGGUCCUUGAUGUUUAUGCCCAGUUCCAUCACUUAGCGUCGGUCAUCACUUGGUCUGUAGGACCCUGGUCAUCUCUGUGCUCCACAAAGAAAAUUCUUCCCAAAUGUAUUGAAGAUAAGCUGAUGGAGUGUGGCAAGAAACAACAAUUAUCUUGGAAAUCUUGGUAAGACACAUGUCUGCCCUAAGAUGCUGUGGACGGGAUCCCACUGAAACCCAGGAUCCUCUGGCAAAGUAAGUAGUGCUAGAGUCACCUUUCUGUAUGUGUGCAAUCUGAUACAGAAGACACCAGGUGAAGAAAGCUACUGGAGAUGUUCAGUGAUCCUAGAGCUGACUCUGUGUGAGCUGAAUAAAGAACUUUGAAAACCCACAAAAGGGGCCAAGGAUACUUGGGGAAAGAGCAAGGGGUUAUGGGGAGAGAAAGACAUAGCACAGAGGGGCGAGUGGAGCUCUGCCAUACAGUUCCUUGGUGGUGGUUGUGGGGUGGGUGGGAGACCAGAGGCCACUUCUAAAAGAAAUAAAAGGCCAGAAAGACAAAACAAACAAAACUCUUGGGAGGGACAGGGUGCCUCACAGAGUUCCCAGAAGGUCAGGGGGCACUUAGGUUCUGACCAAUCGGAGCAGACCAACCUCCCUGAAUUCCAGGAGCACCGAGCAGGCUUCAGGAGAGCCACACAUCACUGGUGUCCUUUGGAAAGGAAGCUUGCGAUGAUGAUACUGGAUAUUUAUACUAAGAGAUUUCUAAGCAUAUCACUAGAGGUGCAGCUUGGCUUCUUUUAGGAGCCACCUUGGCUCCUUCUAACUGUGCAGAGUAGAAUAAGAACACAGAGGGAUGAUUUUAAAGCUGCAGUUGAUACACAAAAAGGAACCAGAACUUAGAGCUUGGAAAUGCUCCACCUAUCAAUAACACUUAUUUGAAGGAAAAAAAAAAACAAAGCAAGUAUGUUUGGAAAGCAACACUAAAGAUGUGGCCAAGAGACUGUGUGAUAAGGAGAUUAAUAGAGAUAGGAACCAAGGACUUUAUCAGCUAUCUCAACAAAGCCUAGAAAAGGAGAAAGGAUCAGAGCAGCAGAAACUCUGCCAGUUACAACUAAUGGAAACAGAAAAGGGCAACAGAGUCUUCACCACCAGACUGGAGGAUGGUCUAACUACAACAGAAUCUUCAAAACCAGUGCAGAAGGACUAUAGAGGCAAUUCAGAGUUUGCCCAGGUUUUACAUGCUACAAUGCAGUGUAUGUGGGUUCCAGGGGUAAUUCUUCCUCACUCCCAAACAGCAGGGCAAGUACCCAGAAGACCUCUGUGAACACAGCAACCCCACAGAGAACCAUAGCAUGAGAAGUACCACCAGGAGGGCGACAGGGUGAUCAUUGCUCCAAUGGCUUGAUUCUCUGAGAGUGAAGCCCCAAGGCAUCUCUGAUUCUCAUGCUCUUUGCUGUGCUGGGUUGGGGCUGCUUGGAACCCACCAUCUUUUCCUCCUUUUCUCUUUCUGCCUGUCAGGAUGGAAAUGUGUGUCCCAUGUUCAUCCUUCCCCUGUUUUUUGGAAGUGCUUAAUUUGUUUGGUUUCAGGCGGUUCACAGCUGAAGAGGAAUUCAGCCUCAGGUUCACUCUCACUCAUAUCUGAUUGACUUGGUAAUUAGACAAAACUUUGGACUCGAGAUUUUAGACUUGAUACUGAAGUAAGUUUAAGCAUUUGGGGUUGCUGGGAUGGGGAAAAGUUCACGCACGUGAGAAGGAUGUAAUUUUGAGGUAGACCAGGAAGAAGGCAAUCUCUGAAUGCUUUUGUCUCCCCAAAUGAUCUGCUGAGAUCGUAGCUACUGCUGUGAUGGUCUUAGGAAGUGAGGGAUUUGGAAGAUGGGAGAUAACAAGAGUAGAAACCUUACAAGUUCAAUAAGUGUCUUUACAAAGGAGACACCACAGAGCAAUUCUGUUCUUUGCCCACUUUGUGAGGACUAAGUGACAGGAUGACAGUCUAAAGGCCUGGGAGAAAGCCUUCUCAGAAUCAGUCCAGGGCUGUGUCCCCAUCUCAGCCUAAAGGGGAGGGGGAAUAAACUCCUGCUCCUCUUAAGUCAUUUGGUAUUUAUGACAGUGGCCCAAACAGACUAAGUCAUUGUUGCUGUGGAUUGAAUGCGUUGCAAGACUAACUACCAGUGCCUCUGAGGGGACCGUAAUUGAAAAUACAGGCCUUGCACAUGUCAAGAGUUUUGAGAGUGGAUCCUUAAUUCAAUGUGACUUAUGCUCUUAGGAGAAGAGGAAAGAUUAAAGAGAAGAUAAUGAUGCAUGGCACUCUGUUGAGGAAAUCAAUGCCAGGAAUGGCCCAGCCAACACCAGACGUUGGGAGAAGCAACUAAAUGGGUCUCAGAAUCUUGGCAGCUUUCGAUUUCUGACCUCCAGAACUGUUAGAAGGAGUCUGAUCCAGAGAAUGCCAUCUGGGAGAGGGCUGAAAGCAUGGAGCUCCGUCUCCUCACUUGAGACUGAAGAUGAGAUCAAAUUCCAGUGGCCGCAGAGGUGAGGCUCCUACAACACCAAGAAGAAUGGCUGUUUCAAGGAAAUUCUUCGACAAACAUCAGUCCCCUUCUUCCCUUUUUCUUCCCCUUGCUUCUCUCCUACAUCUAAUAGUUUAAUAAGUCAGGGUCUCCCUGUUUCAGGUGGUGUUAAGGUAGACUCACAUUCAUUCAUUCAUUCAUUCAUUCAUUCAUUCAUUCGGAGACAAGCAGCAAGCUCACCGAUCCACAUGCCCCCAAAAGGCUUCAGGAAAGAAACCAGUAAAUACCACACUUUUAGGAAAGAGGGGAGGAUCUGGCAGAGAUGUUGUUUGAAAGGAACAGGAAACUAAUGUCAAGAAGGGGAAAUGCAUGGGCUCUCUGUCAAUAAUCUUUCAAAGUGACCCUAGCGUUUGAAACAAUCUGUGGUCUGAUUUACCCAGAUAAUUACAUUGGUUCUGCAUCUGGCGUAUCAGAGGACACAGGGCUGUGGUUCUGCGGACUUAACUGCCCUUUGCAAACUGACUUUUCUCCCAGAAUGAACUACACAGCAGUAGCUCCAUCCUAGCUCUACCAGGAGGGGACUCUACUGUACCCCUGCUAGCUGACAAGUCCAGACUCAGCCUCUGUGCCCCAUAAGUCUAGACGUGUAUGGGUUCAUCUCCAAACACUGGCAUGCCUGCUCCGUUGAUUAGAGUGUUAGGCAAGGGAGCCACCAGUAAACCCCAGCAGGAUUAGGUAGCUCUGUGUGUCUUCACAUCCACUUUUAACAUCACCAUUAUUUCGACCGAAAGCCCUAGUUAUUAGUUUUAUUAAAAGAGGGGCAAGAAGGAGGUGAAGGAGAAGCCACAGGCUUGUUUGCCCGGGCACGUUACUACAAGCCCCUCCUCAGUUCUCUUGAUUUAAGGGACAUUCUCAAAGGGAGAGGAAAGGCGUUUGGGGUUGUAUGGAAAAUUUGACUCAACCCAAAAAGCCAGCCAACACCACAAAGUGGAGUGGAGUCAAAUCAGAUAAAUAGAAAAAGGAAAAGAAUAUAAAGUAUCUCUGAAUGACAGUAUCAAAAAGGUUAAACGGCUUAGCUGAGCUGGUCCAGGACACAUGGAUUCCAGUCUUGCAUUCUCCUGGGAAGGCGCUUAGGUAUUGACUGUAGGGUGCCUCCCGUGCCCAACAGAAACACAAUCAAAACGUUCAAACCUUAUAUGUGGCUCUGGGUUCAGUGUCUUGAACUACCAAAAAUAAUGUUUGUAAUAAGUCGCCCACAUCUCCCGCUUAUUAUUCAUGUAACCUAGAUAUCUCAUGAAAACAAAAUGUCCAGGGCUGCACCGCCAGCGAGCGUGUGGAAACACCCCAACAGCCCCUGUCUUUGUGUCUUUGAUAUGCUGUGUUGUCUUUUUGCUAGAAUGGAAAAGGCUUAGUCCACUUUAGUAAGUAAACAGCAGCUGCCUUGGACACCUUCACCCGUGUGUUUGACAGAGCCCAGACUUGGAUCCCGAUAGAAUGUGGAGGUGUUUGAUGGACUAGCGGAAGGCGGCUUCGAUGACCAUUAGAAAGAGCUGGGUCAGAUGAGGAUUCCAGCCGGCGAUGCAUUCCGACACUUUCCACUCAAAGCACCCCAACAUUUAGUUGCGUUCUUGCACUUUCUAUGUUUAUACUUUUUUUCCUCUGAAAAUCUUUAGUUGGCAAAAUGGUGUUCUUGCAAGACAUAUUACCUAUGUAUGACCUGGAAAUGGUAACAUUUGUAAUAAUAUAUCUUGAAAGGUUCACCUAAGGAGAAAUCAAAGUGAACCAAACACUUUUCAAACCUCAAAAAUAGAUGACAGAUAGAUAGACAGACAGACAGAUAAAAUUUGGUUUAGCAAGCAUUUGGGGGUCAAUACUUGGAGACGAGAAACAAGAUAAAAUUUGAAGACCCCCAAGUCAAGCUGCUUAUCUUGUGCCAGAGCCAAGUUGGUAUUUUUCAAACAACAGUGAAUAUACAUUGAACAAGGAAAAGGAAGACAUAAAAGCUAGCUCCAUUUUCCACUUAAUUGGUCGGGGCCUAAGAAGCAGAGUCUAGAGGUUUUCAAGAGCUCACCAGCCCCUGUGCUAAGUUGAGGCCCAGACCUGGGCCUCUAAGUUGAGGCCCAGACCUGACUUACUGAACACUUGCCCAUUUCAGCAAAACUCAUGAUGGAAUUGGCUUUCCUGUGUCCUCUGUAACUAACCUGCUUUCCUGAUCACUCAGGCCUUUCUGAGCUCCAACCAGCAUCUUAAGCCUUUAAUCCUGAAGGCUGGAAUCACAUCUGCAGCCAUGCUGCAUGACCGGCCUCCAGCUUUGCCUUCCACCCUGCAGAGUGAGGAAGUUUCUGUUUCUGACAUGUUUCUAGGUUGGCAAAUUUACAAGUUUUGCUUCUCUUCUUUAUAUGGCUUUGUUUUUGGGUCUUUCUUCCCUUAAUAACGGGCUUAACACACUUUCUGUGCAAUGGAAAGGUCGAACAAACAGGCUCUCCACAAACGAUCCAUAGCAGCCAGCAGCCAGCAGCCAGUCACACCAUGAGCAUGCAGACAGACGUGUGGAAGCACACGUGGAGAAUGAUGCCCAGGAGUAAGCAGCCCUGACAGUAGAGCCAUGGCUGGGAAAAGGGAAGAGGGCAUGAGACAUGGAGACUGCAGAGAGUGGCCAAGCUACAGAAAAACAUCAGGGCAACUGGAGGAGAGAUCUGCUUCCCUGCUGUGCCACAAGAGCACCCUGAGGAAGUGGAGCUUUGCCAAGACUGCACACAAGUCCAAGUCGUUAGGUGGGGUGUGAAGGAGCAUGCCUGUAGCCCCAUCACUUGGGAGGCCGAGGGCAAGAGGACUGCUGUAAGUUCUAAGCCUGUAUGAGCUAUAUAGUAAGUCUUAGGCCAGCCUGGGCUACAAAGUGAGACUGUCUCAAAACAAAUAAACUAAGCCCCAAAACACUAACUAACAAUAGGGAAACAAUAAUUAAAUUUUAUAAAAAUCACAGUUACAGGGUCUGACCUAAACAGUUUAAACAACAGACCAUUACAGUUUGUUCAUGUAUUAUUGAUUCUUAAAAAUUUCUUAUCAUAUUCUAAUUUAGUGUGUGUGUGUGUGUGUGUAAAUCUGAGGAAAAUCUGUAGGAGAAAGUUCUCUCCUUCCACCAUGUAGAACCUGGGGGUUGAACUCAGGCUUGUUUCAAGUCAGUCUCAAAGCACAGCCAUCAACUGGGACUGAUGACACACAAUUAACUUUAAGGACUCCCAUGCAGGAGUGAAGCCGUGGUCAUGUGAGGUAUGUGCUCACAAUCCAGUUUGCUAAGACUGUAUUAUAUAAUCCCAUGUUGAACUGUGAAAAACUGCCACUCUGAUUAUUUUUACCUACAAAAAACAAGGGGCAAUUUCAUAUGGUUCUUUUUAUAUCUAUAAAUAGAAUAGUGUAAAGAUUUUCUUUGGACUUGAACAUCCGUCUAAUCCUGUGGAGUUUUCAGAUUCACUGCAUUUAAAAGCUAAACACUCAGGUAUCUGUUUUUCCUAGAGAUCUCCCAUUUACAUGGGUAUCAGGUGUCCUGUAGAUAUCCAGCCUCUCAUGCCAAGUGGUGGGAAGAUUUAACUCUAGUAUGAAAUCAAGGAUGUGAUUUCUGGUUAAGCCAGCAAACAUUUUGCACAGGAAAUGCUUCAUGUUUAGUGGCCAUGUCCCAUGUUUCUUGCCCUAACAGCAAACAAGAUUAUCUCUUGGUCCAAAGGAAAAUGAAGAAUGAAAAUAAACUGUUCACUUCUGAAAGAGCCAUUUCCCCUUCCCAGUGUUUAAGAAAGUCGCUUUAUUUGGCAACAUCUUUCUAGUAGGAGGAAGAGAGGAGUUCAUCUUGAGUCAGAUGUGCCAACCACAUCGGUAAUCCCAGUACUCAGCGGCAGGAGGAUGCCCGCAAAUUCAAGUCCAGCCUGGUCUACACAGACAAUCCACUCUGACCUAAUGGAGGCUCUUGCUGAUGUCCGAUUGCCUGCCUGCCUUGUACACACUGUUUCUCUUGGGUGACAGUCCUCUGGUGGUAAGUAAACAAUACUGUAAUGAGCAACACAGUAAGUUCGAGAAAUACCCAGAUUGGAGGACUGGGGGAGAGAGUGGGCUGUGGGCACUUUCUAUUGCUUUGGCCUUCAACCUGAUGCCUCCAUUACUAAGAAUGGAUCUUGAUGUCCCUUUUCAAGGUGUUGCAUUAGCAAGCAUACGGUGACUGUCCAGACUGCCCACCUACACUGCCCACCUAAAUGAACUUUAAAUGCGAAUUUCCAGCUACCAAAGUGUCCCUGGGCUGCUUGUCACUGUUUCCACAUAUCUGUAUAUAUGCACAUAUACAGGAAAGGGAAAAAGAUAUUCAAUGAGAUGAAAUAUUCACUUUAAUUAUUAAGUUCUUAUAAAGGGUAAUGGGCUCUUUGUACUAUCCCUGCAACUUUUCUAUAAUUUAAAAAAAUAUAUAAUGAAGUAGGAAGCUCUGAAAAGUUAUCACAGAAUGGAGAGACUAACCAGUUCCUUAAACAAACAGCCUAUUGUGUGCUUAACCACUCCUGACCACGCUGACAUCAAAGUUUUCAUCCUGCCAUUAGCAGAAUGCAAAGUGGAACAGGAAGGCAAAGGGUCCGGUGUGUGCUUUGGAAGCUUCCUGUCGGCUUUCAGGAGUGAUUGCAAGCCCUGUCAUCACUUGAAGGCACCAUUUCUCUAUCUUAAAAAAUCUCAAGCUUCAAACAAAAAUCUUUUGUUCCCAGUUCUAAUCAGCUUGACUCGGUGUGUCGACAGCUGCUGCCGAGGACCAAGAACUAAAGUCGAGGAGGGAAGCUGGGACUCUCCAGGUGGCUAGGUGUCCCCAGUUGUGGGAGACACUGGCAACACAUUCCUCAGUGGCACGGCAAGCUCGAUGCUUUAUGGUUUCUCCUGGCAGUUUGGGAAGGCUCUCCCAAGCCCUGAGGGACAUGAUGUUGAAUUACCUCUCAGAAAGCCAGCAGUGGUAUUUUGCGGUCAUGGCCAGAUUAUACGCACAGGCAUGGAUCACACCUUCUCACGAAAGUGAGUUUCUGGGGCUCAUGACUCAUUGUGUCUUCUAUUCAGAUAGGUAGCUUAUUGUGUUUGGCUGAGACACAAAAACAGGUGGCUUAACUGGUGGCACAAACAUGUGGUCUUUGUCCAUAGCCCAAAGGUGAUCACCUGCUGGGUCCUCUAUGGAAUUUCCACUCCCUGUGAGAAUCAAAAACAUAAUUGGGGGGAAAAAAGAUGCUGAGAUGCUGUUGUUCUCCAGGUGUUUCUUUGAGUUGGCCAACUUCCGCCCUCUCUGUUGUGUUUCCCAGGGAUGGGAGGUUUGCACUGGGCUGGUAAGUAGUGGGGUAAGCCUAGAUCAGUGAAAGGGAAGCAAUGCAACCAGUUAGACUGGAGAUCUUGUUCUGGGCUCCCUAGACAACUUCCCAUCUGUCUCAAGAGUGGAUCCUUCGAGGAGUCAGUACCAGGAUGGAGAUGCCUCAUCCGUUCAUCAGCCUGCACCUUGCCCUACGUUUUAGCAUCUGCUGAUUAAUGUGCCAUUCAAGAGAAUCUUCUGUAUUUCACUGAUCCCAUCUGCUCUUCUCCUGUAUAUCUGUAAAACUGAGGCAGUUCUAUCUGCUCCUACCCAAGGCUGAGUAUCAAUGUAACUUUUAUGUUGUGUGUUUCUUGUUCUGUGUUGCGUUUACAUGUUUGUAAGUGCAUGCACACAUGGAGUCCAGGGGUCCACCUCAACUGUCUUCCUCAAUUGUCUACACCCUAUUUUUUUUGAGGCAGUCUGAUAGGGGAUGUCCUUCUGUGAAUAUGCUUCUCUUAUUGGUUGAUGAAUAAAACAAUGUUGGCCAAUAAGGUAGGAUGAUAGGCAGGACUAGGAGAAGAGGAGAAUUCUGGGAAGUAUAGGCAGGGAGGGGUAGCCAUGUGAGCCACCAAAGGAGUUAAGAGGUCUGGACCCUUCUCUGGUAAGAUAAAACCAUGUGGAAAUACUUAGAUUAAUAGAAAUGGGUUAAUAAUUAAGACAGAGCUAGCCAAUAAGAAGCCCUAGUCAUCAGUCAACAGUUUUAUAAUUAAUAUAGUGUCUCUGUGUGUUUAUUUGGGGCUGAAGUGGUUGUGGGACCAGGUGGGGUGGAAAAUUGCUUCAACAGCAGUCUCUCAGUUAACCUUGAACUCACCAACUGCACUGGGCCGACUAGCCAUACUUCCCCACACUCAUCACUCUGCUUCCCCAGUCCUGGGCUCACAGGCAUGCAACAGCAUGCCUGGCUUUUUAUGUGGACAACAUGGGUCCAACACUCAGGGCCUCACCCAUCCCAGAACGCAUGUUGCCUAUUAAACCAUCUCCCAGCCCUUGACAGCAUUUUUUUUUUUAACAUUUCAAUAUAUAUUGGUCAGGUCUUGGCAGCAAACAGAAGAAAUACAUUCCAAAUUCAAAAAGAAAGGAAUUGAUUAGAAGAAAAUGUUAUUUAAAAGACAUGAUCAAUACAAGGGCUGGAGAAAUAAAAUCUUGGAGAAACACAGACUAGAACUGAGGAGGAAGACCAUUCAGCGGACGGCGAAUUAAUCUACAUGUGGACCCUGUAGAGACACGUUCACUAACAUUUCCACCCCAACCACUACUGGAUACCAUGGCAACUGCUGUCUCUUGUGUAGACACAAUUUCUGAGAGCCCUUGCAUCAGUCUUCCAAAUCCUCUUACAGGUAGAGAAUCCAGGUAGCUUGACUUAGGUCAUAAAGGUCAGCCCUUGCCAACUGGGCCCUAAUGGAAGGUAGGACUAAGGGGAACAAACGCAAAUGCCAAAACAUUUUAAAAUGUUCAAGAUAACAAAAUGUGAGAAGAAGUUAAGAAAUCUUAACUUUUACCAGUUCUCAAAGAAGCUGAGCCCUCUCACAGACCAGCACCUUUGGCUCACUGAAUCUGUCCUUGUUUUCGUUAUUGCUUUUAUCUUUCCUGUGUCCACUCCAAAACAAGGUAAAAGUCUUUUCAGUCACUGAUCUUAAUUUACUAAAAUGUUUUUAAAUUUAAAUCUACUUAUCAUCAUUUUCUGAGCUAAAGAAUGAAAAUAAAUGUAUUUAACCAGAAACACAUUAACUGGCUUCCUUCUCUGUUUUCUCCCUCUGCAGUUGUGGGAUUAUCAUGUUUCCAAAUAAGAAGCACCUGGCUGGUUCUUUCCUUAAGGUUAAUUAAUAACCCUUGGAGAGAAAAAUAAGCCAAUAUAUUCCAUUUAAUAUGGAUUUCCCUGACAUGAGGAUGAGGCCUCAAAAAUACCUUUGUUUUCAUGUUGCUAAAAGAAGACAGAUACUUGGAUAUCAGUUUUACAGCUGCCGUUCCUCCUUGGGAGGCAGCAAGGACAUAGUGCAUGCCCCCUAGGACACUAAGCAUGCUCGGGGCAAAAAGGCAGAAGCUCUAACUGUGCCUGCAGCCUGCCAUCUUACAGAGAUACUAAGGAAGAGUGGCGUGCCUUCUUUCCGGGAUGACCAGUGUGACCAUGAAUGCCAGGACAGCUGCUGUCAUGAUCAUCUGCCUUGCCUUCAUUCACAAAGCAUAUUUUAUCAAUGGCAUUUUGGAUUCAGACCAUCGAAAGAGGAAAUCAGGUCACAAAUUCUAAAUACCAUAUUAACUUUGAAGUCCUAGGAAGGGGGAAUUAUUUUUUCCUUUAUUUUAAUGUUUAGAAAAAGCAUGUCCUUGGUAUAAAUAAUUUAGAAAAUAUAUGAUAAUAUAUAAGAACAAUUAGAAUCGUUCGUUGGUGAGAUGGGUUUGAUUGGGUUAGUCUCCAAAUUAGCUUCUUAACAUAGCUCAGCAUUAUCCAAUGAGUCUGAAUUGGAGGAUUGUUGAGGCGAUGCUGGCCUGUGGGCACAUCUGUGGAUGCAUUUUCUUGAUUGCUAAUUGAUGUAGAAGGGGCCCAGUCCACCGUGGGGAGUACCCUCCCUAGGCAGGGAGUCCUGGGUUGUAUAAGAGAGUGAGCUGAGCAGAAACCAGGGGGCUAACCAGCAAGCCACUGCCUUCAAGCUUUCUGCUUUAGUUCCUGCCCUGCUUUCCCUCAGUGAUGAGUCUUGAACUAAAGUACAAACCAAGCCCUUUCCACCCCUAGUUGCUGUUGGUCAGUGUUUUAAUCAUAACACAGAAAAAACAAACCAGAACAGUUUUUGUUUGUAAAUAGCAAGUAAAUAAACAAAUCACAAGACUUUAAUUCUGUACAAACAUUCCCAGGACCACACCAAGCCCUGGACUCUUGCAGCAGAAUUGAAACCUGAACCUAGAUGUGAGCCUUACCAGAGCCUAAGUCAGAAACUCGAUGUUCACUGAGUCCCAUUUGAUUAACCUGUCUCACCUGAUUUGAUUACAUAGCAAAGUUAAUGAGAGACAGAUAUACCUCAAGCAAUGGAGGCCACCAAUUAUCCUUUGUUCGUUGAUCAGAAGGCCCAUAGAGGCCAGUCCUUCUCCUGCCAUAGGAGGGUGUGUGUGGCUGGGACAGGUUCAUUUAUCCAAUUCAAUUAACAUUGACUGAAAACCAAUUAUGAGCAGGGGCUGGAAAGCUUUACAGAUGCUGGAGCAGGACAGACAGAAGUUGCUUAUAAAGGAAAACAGAAUGUAAAAUGUGUUCUUAAAACCACCGUUCUUCUAUCCAGUCAUCUUAAAGGGCUGUCUGGCUAUCUGCACUUUGUGAUUUACACCAAGACUAGGGUGACAGCCACUCUGUUGUGAUCCGCUUCAGGUAAUGACCAGUGAGACCCUGUGUUGAAGAGCUUGACAUUACAGAGGGGCAGGUUCAACCUAGAGUUGCACUCAGGCAGAAAGCUGCAUGUUGGCAGGUCCUUUACACUCUUUGAUCCAAGAUAGGGGUCAGUGAGCAGGAUUUCUUUUACCCACUUGGAAGACACCAGUCCACCUGAACAGGGGUCUCUGAACAUGUGGCUUUCUCCCAGCAGUCUUGGGAAGUACUACACCUGUCCCAUGAGCCUUUUGGAUGCCUUUGCUCCUAGGUGUCCUAGAUCACAUUUUAAGCUGAUUUCUGGGUGUAGCUCUUUUCUUCCAUCUUAGUUAAUACAACACACCCAGAUUGCCACACAGAGCUCCUAAGAUCAAAACACUGGAUGCCCUUUUGAAAGAUCUCUGCCCUUUAGUGAAGUUAGUUUACUUCCUUCUCUGCAUUUCCCAUGACUGCCCAACAAAGGGCAGUCAAACUUAAUUUGGGAACAACAACCUGGCCAGGUGAUUUGAAUGUACAAACCCUGGAUCUCCACCCUUUCAUCUCCCGUUGAUUUGUUGGAUCCCGAGACUGUUUGCUCUUCUCUGGGGCCUGCCCUCUGCUUCCUGUGUGAAUCAGGUGGAAAGGUAGGACAGUCAGUGAUGGAAUUGUGGGGUGCAGAGGUUUGUCGGGCAUCCAUUGGCUUUCCCAGUGCAUUUCCAGUCACUCACAAAGGGCAUGGACAGCCUUCUCUUCUGACUUGCUGCCAUGCCUGAGUGACCAAAUUGUCACUGUCUGAGAGGUGAAUUUCUGUGGAAACAGAUACACAACUUCCUCUUUGAUUUGGGCAACAAGGACAUUCGACCAAAAGCCAAUUUCUUUCUUUUAUACCCCUCCCAUUUUUCUUUUAUUGAAAAUAGAUUUUUUCAUACACUAUAUUCUAAUUAUAGUUUCCCUCCUCCAAGGUACUUACUCUCCACCUCCCCUCCCAUCCUAAUUCAUACCCUUCCUGCCUCUCCUUAGAAAACAAACAUGCAUAUAAAGAAUAAUAAAAUAAGACAAAAACAAACAAACCAAAAUAGGACAAAAACAAACAAACAGGGGGAAAAAAGAGCCAAAGAAAAGGGACACAGAGACACACACAUUCAUACACAUAGGAACCCAUAAAAACACAAAACUAGAAGCUAUAAUAUGUAUGCAAAUGGCCUGUAAGGUUAAAAAAAAUUAAAUGCCUUGAGAAAACAUGAGACAAAGAACCUCCAAAGAUGUCAUUGAAUUUGUUUUGAGUUGGCCAUCUACUGCUGGGCUUCGGCCUGCAUUUCAAAGUAGUCUGUAUAUCCAGUGAGAUUCCAUUGGAGAGAACUCAAUUUUUAUUUACGAGUGUCAAAAAUUCAAUUUGUAAUUCCAUGGAAUUAGAAUACAGGGUAGGACUUCCCAAUGGUUUUACACACAAAAGAUAAUCAAGUAAUUUUAAAAAAAGAUAUAAACUCAUAUAUGUACACAGCAACAAUGGUAAAUACUAGUCACUAAAUAGAAAAAUUUCAGAUGCUCCUGUGUGUUAACAAGCCCUUAAAUUAACUUAUAAUCUGUGUGUGCACAUGUUCAUGUGUGUGCAUGUAUUUGUGGAGGCAUGUGUCUUCCUCGAUGUUUAUAUACCUUAUUUUUGCAGACAGUAUCUCUCAGCAAACAAAGAGCCCACCUACUAUGUGGAUGGGCUAGCCAGCAAGUCCCAGGAAUCCACCUGCUUCUGCUUCCCCACUGCUGGGAUUACAGGUGCACAUUGCCACACCUGGUUAUUGUAUGGUAAAAUCCGCUCUGGGUCUUCAUGCUUACAUAGCAAGCACUGUGCCAGCCGAGCCAUCUCCCCACACCCUGUAUUUUAUUUUAUUGGCAUGUACUCAUUGUACACAGUCCUGGAUUUCAUAAGGGCGUUUCCAUAAAAGAAUAUAAUGUACUUUGACCAUAGUUAAUAAGAAGGAUGCCUGUAAACAUUCCAAAAAUAACAACACAUGCGUGCGGAAGAUACUAUAGACAUGCUUGGUACAUCUCCAGACUUUAAGAUCCCUGAGAAUAACACUGGCUAAGUGGGUCAGAGGUUUGGAUCAGCUCGCAAGUUGAAAAGUUCAGAGUGGGAAAGAAACAUCGCACUUGACUUGGGGGUGUGCCUGAGCCAGGACAGUCAUCCAAACUCUUCAGAUCUGACUGGGUCUGUGCCCCACAGACACAUAAACCUGGGUCUGCUGCUUCACCACAGUGGGCUGGCUAUGUCUUUUCCACAAGACUUCUUGAUCUCCACCUGCAUGUGGCCUUGAUCUGGCCCAAUGAUACCGGCAGAGUCUCAAGUCUAAUGGACUGUAGAUGUGAAGGCAAGAGAGGCAAGGCCCUGGGACCCACGCUGCACUCUGCUCUUCUGUGUAACUCAGUAAGAAGGCACAAUGUUACUCAUACACGCUUGUCACCCAAGGCAUUUCCAAAGGACUCAAGCCUUGCAGACGGUGACAUUUAUCCACCACUGGCUGUGCUGGAUUUAAACAGAUGACCUUCUCAUGAGAGCCCCAGUGUUUUCUUUCUAAUCCAGUCCACCAAGUCAUUUCCCAUUGCUGCCCUCCUGAUAUGACGCACAGCACCACUCUCCAGAGCGCUGGCCUUUUUAUUGGUUCUCAUAUGUGCAAAGAUCUUCAGAGGAUGGAUUUGCAGCAGAGAUGAGCUAAUAAAGUGCCACUUUUGCAGAAGAGAUGGCACUGGUGAUAUUCUGAGUCCAUAAAUAGCACCCCUUAUAUAAUCCAUUAUUCUCAGUGAGGACCCGUGGGCUUGAGUCUAUUUAUUUUAACUCAUAUUUUUUAUGUCAUCUGGUAAGAUUUAGCCAUAACUGUAACAGUUACAGUCCAAAUAACUGUUCUUCUUAGAACAGGGUUGCAGUGUGCUGCCACAGAGUGUGACAAUGUCUUCUCAUGUAUGGGUCCCACGCUAAUGAAGAGUGGUCCAGGCAGCCCCGGAGCAGGUAGCAUCUCAGAGAUCAUUCCUCAGAGAGACACAGCUGCUCAACCCUCACCCCAAGGGCAGUCAGAAGAUGGAGAGAUCAAAGGGAGUUCAGAGAAAAUGAAAGCACACCCCUAAUUCAAUACAGGAAAAUUGCCAUGACUGGAGUGCUUAGUUCAAUCUUCUAAGAAAACAACAACAGAGAGCAGAAGAAAAAAAAAUGACUAAGAUCGGGUUCUGGCAUCAGGAAUCAGCUUGCCAAGGCGGAAGGCAUACCCGAUGGGGAAGACAGCUCGUUCCCCUAGAUUAAUCAGAGUUCUGAGUCAACUGUAAGUUCCAAGUGUCCCACUGCCAAGAUACAACAUAAGCCACUUAAUUCCUUCCCACAAUCUAGAAUUGUUAGUUGCUAUCCAAGCCAAGUACUCUGAUAAAACCCCUGGAGACAUGAAACCCAUCAAAGGGGGCAGAGUUAUGCCAGGAUGGAUAACCGGAGCUUGGGGAGCAAUGGGACCCUACCUCAUGAAGAGGCUAAAGGGACUCCAUCGAGGGGUGUUGAGGGGAGGCAGUUAUCUUUGUUGGUUGCCUAUUGUCAGCUCCCAAGUCACUUGGGGAUGGGCAGAGAGGCAAAGGGCAGCCCCCUCGGUAAGAAUGGGAAAUUGUGGGCAAACUCUCUCUGUGGGCAAAAAUACACAAAAAAUAGAAAAGGCAACCACACUUCCCAUGGUUACGGUUUCUUUGCAAGUGGGUUGUGGAGAUGAUCAGUUCAAACCUAGACAAAAGGGCAGGAACCUCUGGUUUGGAAAUCUUUGAGGCAGAAUACCUUCCCAUAGUGGUGGAUGCUAAGCACCCCACCCCAUGAGUAACUCUUUAGGGUUGAGAGUUCCCAGGAGGCACAGACAUGACCUGGGAGUGCAAUACACAAGCAUCCAGCAUCACAUUGGGUUGCUUAGUGAGGGAGCCGAGUGCUAACUAAGCCCUUAAGGAAGAAGCAUGAAACCAUUGAGCUCCUACUGGUGCAAGGCACUUUUUUUUUUUUUUUUUUUUUUUUUUUUUUGGUUUUUGGAGGCAGGGUUUCUCUGUGGCUUUGAAGGCUGUCCUGGAACUAGCUCUUGUAGACCAGGCUGGUCUCGAACUCACAGAGAUCCGCCAGCAUCUACCUCCCGAGUGCUGGGAUUAAAGGCGUGCGCCACCACCACCUGGCCACUACCAUCCUCUUUUUAAAACAAAACAAAACAAAAAGUUACCAGGAAGUAGAGCCUAGAACUCAUGAUGGAGUUCUAGGCUGAUGUUGUGAUCUGUCAUCCAAUCUCUGCCCCUCAGCCGCAGGGAUCACAGACCCUUACUCUGACUGGAGCAGAGAGAGAGGAGGAGGGAUUGCAGAUCCCACAGAUUUUCUUCACCAGCGUUUUGUUGCUAAUUGGAAAGACAGGGAAGAGGGAGUGAGAGCCAGAGGGGAGCUCGGUGGCACACAGCUCCUGAUGCCUCAUACUCAGAACUCCUGGGCUGGGCUCUGUGUCCAUGAGGCACAAUAGACUUAAAAGUGUGGUGCAAUAGAGUUUAUUGCUUAAUCCUAUCUGGGGAUCCCCUCCCGCAAGGUUCCUGGGGCUAAAACAUCGUCAUCAGUGUUGAUAUCACUCUACUCCCUGGUAACUUAAAAAAAAAAAAAAAUACUAGCCAAUGUUACCACCCAGAUACAUCAUACAAAAACAUCCUUUCUGCUAAUUUGCAUAAAGCAAACUUCUUCUGAAACAUGGUAAUCACCCCACGUCUCAGGACUCACACUUAAAUAAAGCCAGCACUUAGCAAGCUUAGAAAGGUGCUGGUGCUCUGUGGACACAGGUCUUCGGAAGCUGCCAAAGUCUUCCACGUGCAGGUCUCUGGCACUCCGAUGGGGUGAGGGCCCUUCUGCCGAGGUAGCUGACACAGUCUAGGAAGCUUUCAGCACACAAACCAGCAGCCCACGUUUGCAAGAGCAGAUCUGCUUUUGUAACAGCCUCCAAUGUUUAUGUUCCUGUCGCUACCACACAGUUGUCAGCCCCCCUGGCUCUCCUUCGUUCAAUCAGUCCUCUCCCUUGCUCAAAAGGCUGAUGACUCAGUAGCUGCUUCCAUGUAUCCUGCUGGUUUUAGAUAACCUCCAGGAAUCUGUUGCACCCGUUUGUACCCCCAUGUCAGCUAUUGAUUCAACAGGCAAAUCUCUGACCCUUCCAUAUGCUGGGCACAAUGGCAAGCACGACAGCAGCAAGCAUUUUGAGAGCCUCAGAAGAGCUCAUUUCAAACAGACACUCGCUAUGUACUACUCAGAAGCAUAGAUUCUCAGAAUACAGGUUUCUCUUCCGAAAUACCUGUCCUUCCUUGAUACUCUUCAGUAUUCCUUCCCAUGGAGCCUCCGUCCCAUGGGAGCUCUUCUCUUAUCUCAAAGUCAGAAUAAAAGAGUCCCUUUUCUGUAGUUCACAACACUCAUAGAAGCCGAGGCCAGAAGAAAGAAGACACCUAAGAGUACAGGGCAAGGAGGCCCAGCUUCACAAUCAAAGCUAGAAACAUAUUGGGAGGAUGUGGAUUAAGUCUAGGAAUGAAGAAUGAAGUUGAUUCUAAGAACGUCUUAGAAUCAAUGAGAACCAGGGUAGUUCUUGGGUUUCACAGACUAAGCGAAAAGUAUUUGCUUACUGAGAGGGACAGUCAAUACGUUUUGAUUGACCACACAAGGAAAGACGGGAAUCUGGUAAGGGUAAGGCCACUCCCCUGACCAUAGCUCAUACACUAUUACCGGAGAAAAGAUGGGUCAGGAAGGCAGAAGAUGCUCGUGAACAUUGUAGCUGUAGGAACUGUCAACUGCUUCAGGAAACUUGCCUGAACACUCACAGGCUUAAACAUACACAUAUUCACGUAUGGUAGAUCCAAAAUAGGAUGCUAACAAACACUGUGAGGCGUGAUCUAACCUGAACCCAAAAGAAAGAAAACAGUCCGUGCAAUAGCAGAAAACACUUUACAAAACAAACCUGCUCAGUUUUUCCUAGGUUCUCUUCCAAGACUUGACUAUAGAUGAAAACAUGGCUGUAUUUUCUGUACCCCCCUUCUCAUAUCAUGUACAUAUUCUCAGGCCGCCUUACAGCGUUCUUAAACUUUUCCUAACAUGUAUAUGUUCCUUCUACACUGUUUGUUUUUUGAGUCUCACGAAUGUUUAGAAUGAUCCUGUUUUCUCCUCCUAUACACAGCUCCAUAACUAAUGCCUUCAUGUAUACACAUUUUCCUUUCUCUGAAUUAUUCCCUUGGGACAAAUGCCAGUGUGUGGGGCAGGAAAGAUAAACAAAGCAGGAAUGUUUUAUGGCUGCUGUAGUGCCUUGCCAAAUCAUUCCAGAAAAGAUGCCAGUUCAGGUUCGCCACUGGAGAUGUCUGAUUAUCCCACAUGCUCCCAGUGACACAGUGCUAGGCAUCCGUCAUGGACAAACUCUCCACAACACACCCUCUUCCCAACAAGGCACCAGGAAACUUGGUCUACAGCUGCCAUUCAUCUGCCCAAUGUUGUAAUUGGGGGGGGUAUUUUUAAUUGACAAGGAUAUUUUCAUUACAGCAAAACCAAUUUUCUCGCUUUUGAAUGUACAUAAAAUUAUCAUUUCUGAG
ensembl:lncRNA